UACGUAGGUGGCAAGCGUUGUCCGGAAUUAUUGGGCGUAAAGAGCAUGUAGGCGGGAAUCUAAGUCUGUUGUUAAAAUGCGGGGCUCAACCCCGUAUUGCGAUGGAAACUGGGUUUCUUGAGUGCAGGAGAGGAAAGGGGAAUUCCCAGUGUAGCGGUGGAAUGCGUAGAUAUCGGGAGGAAUACCAGUGGCGAAGGCGGCCUGCUGGGCUCUAACUGACACUGAGGCUCGAAAGCGUGGGUAGCAAACAGGAUUAGAUACCCCGGUAGUCCCUGA
rnacentral:rRNA from 1 species